rnacentral:rRNA from 1 species
UGGGGAAUUUUGGACAAUGGGGGAAACCCUGAUCCAGCCAUCCCGCGUGUGCGAUGAAGGCCUUCGGGUUGUAAAGCACUUUUGGCAGGAAAGAAACGUCAUGGGUUAAUACCCCGUGAAACUGACGGUACCUGCAGAAUAAGCACCGGCUAACUACGUGCCAGCAGCCGCGGUAAUACGUAGGGUGCAAGCGUUAUUCGGAAUUACUGGGCGUAAAGCGUGCGCAGGCGGUUCGGAAAGAAAGAUGUGAAAUCCCAGAGCUCAACUUUGGAACUGCAUUUUUAACUACCGGGCUAGAGUGUGUCAGAGGGAGGUGGAAUUCCGCGUGUAGCAGUGAAAUGCGUAGAUAUGCGGAGGAACACCGAUGGCGAAGGCAGCCUCCUGGGAUAACACUGACGCUCAUGCACGAAAGCGUGGGGAGCAAACAGG